AGACCGCGUGAGGGAGGAAGGCCUAUUGGUUGUAAACCUCUUUUGAUAGGGAAGAACACAAUGACGGUACCUAUCGAAUCAGCAUCGGCUAACUCCGUGCCAGCAGCCGCGGUAAU
rnacentral:rRNA from 1 species